GACGAACGCUGGCGGCGUGCUUAACACAUGCAAGUCGAACGGAAAGGCCCUGCUUGCAGGGUACUCGAGUGGCGAACGGGUGAGUAACACGUGGGUGAUCUGCCCUGCACUUCGGGAUAAGCCUGGGAAACUGGGUCUAAUACCGCAUAGGAGCCAUUUUUAUUGUUAGGGUUGGAAGGUUUUUUCGGUGUAGGAUGAGCUCGCGGCCUAUCAGCUUGUUGGUGGGGUAAUGGCCUACCAAGGCGGCGACGGGUAGCCGGCCUGAGAGGGUGGACGGCCACAUUGGGACUGAGAUACGGCCCAGACUCCUACGGGAGGCAGCAGUGGGGAAUAUUGCACAAUGGGCGCAAGCCUGAUGCAGCGACGCCGCGUGGGGGAUGACGGCCUUCGGGUUGUAAACUCCUUUCGCUAGGGACGAAGCUUUUUGUGACGGUACCUAGAUAAGAAGCACCGGCUAACUACGU
rnacentral:rRNA from 1 species